GGGCGCUUAGCUCAAUGGUUAGAGCAUCUGCUUUACAGGCAGGGGGUUAGGGGUUCAAAUCCUCUAGCGCCCA
rnacentral:tRNA from 1 species